AUCCUUUAGUUUGUUCAGAGUCUAAAAAACUCAAAUAUUGUUGUGUUGUCAUCAACAUCAUCUCUUGUUUUCCCCCGAGCAGGGAGUUAAAUAACAACACUAAAUUA